AGAAAAGCGAGUAAGGGCACACGGUGGAUGCCUAGGCAUACAGAGGCGAAGAAGGACGUGUAAAGCUGCGAUAAGCUGCGGGGAGUUGCAUAAGAACUGUGAUCCGUGGAUUUCCGAAUGGGGCAACCCACCUUAAUUUAUUAGGGUGAACU
rnacentral:rRNA from 1 species